rnacentral:rRNA from 1 species
ACGCUGGCGGCAGGCUUAACACAUGCAAGUCGAGCGGGGAAAAGUAGCUUGCUACUUAACUUAGCGGCGGACGGGUGAGUAAUACUUAGGAAUCUGCCUAUUAGUGGGGGACAACAUUUCGAAAGGAAUGCUAAUACCGCAUACGUCCUACGGGAGAAAGCAGGGGAUCACUUGUGACCUUGCGCUAAUAGAUGAGCCUAAGUCGGAUUAGCUAGUUGGUGGGGUAAAGGCCUACCAAGGCGACGAUCUGUAGCGGGUCUGAGAGGAUGAUCCGCCACACUGGGACUGAGACACGGCCCAGACUCCUACGGGAGGCAGCAGUGGGGAAUAUUGGACAAUGGGGGGAACCCUGAUCCAGCCAUGCCGCGUGUGUGAAGAAGGCCUUUUGGUUGUAAAGCACUUUAAGCGAGGAGGAGGCUACUCUAGUUAAUACCUAGAGAUAGUGGACGUUACUCGCAGAAUAAGCACCGGCUAACUCUGUGCCAGCAGCCGCGGUAAUACAGAGGGUGCGAGCGUUAAUCGGAUUUACUGGGCGUAAAGCGUGCGUAGGUGGCCAAUUAAGUCAAAUGUGAAAUCCCCGAGCUUAACUUGGGAAUUGCAUUCGAUACUGGUUGGCUAGAGUAUGGGAGAGGAUGGUAGAAUUCCAGGUGUAGCGGUGAAAUGCGUAGAGAUCUGGAGGAAUACCGAUGGCGAAGGCAGCCAUCUGGCCUAAUACUGACACUGAGGUACGAAAGCAUGGGGAGCAAACAGGAUUAGAUACCCUGGUAGUCC